CGAAAGCCUGACGGAGCAAUACCGCGUGAGGGAGGAAGGCUUUUGGAUUGUAAACCUCUUUUCUCAAGGAAGAAAAAAAUGACGGUACUUGAGGAAUCAGCAUCGGCUAACUCCGUGCCAGCAGCCGCGGUAAUACGGAGGAUGCAAGCGUUAUCCGGAAUCAUUGGGCGUAAAGCGUCCGCAGGUGGCGUAUCAAGUCUGCUGUCAAAGACUAGAGCUUAACUCUGGAAAGGCAGUGGAAACUGGAGAGCUAGAGUACGGUAGGGGUUGAGGGAAUUCCCAGUGUAGCGGUGAAAUGCGUAGAUAUUGGGAAGAACACCAGUGGCGAAGGCGCUCAACUGGGCCGUAACUGACACUCAGGGACGAAAGCUAGGGGAGCG
rnacentral:rRNA from 1 species